UUAGUACAUGAACACUUAAAACCAACAAGUUUACCGUAUGGCUUCAGUUACUAGUGUUUAACAUAUUAUUACAUGAACACUUAAAACCAACAGGUCUACCAUAUGGCUUCAGUUACUAGUGUUUUACUUAACAUUACAUGAACACAUAACACCAACAGGUCUACCGUAUGGCUUCAGUUACUAGUGUUUAACAUAUUAUUACAUCAACACUUAAAACCAACAGGUCUACCAUAUGGCUUCAGUUACUAGUGUUUAACUUAACAUUACAUGAACACACAACACAAACAGGUCUACCGUAUGGCUUCAGUUACUAGUGUUUUCAUAUAUUGAAGGCUGAUAGUGGCAAUACAAAGUACUCAGAAAUCACUGUAUGAUAGUAAUACAAACAUGAUUACAAAGUACUCAGAGAUCACUAUAUGACAGUAAUACAAACAUGAUUACAAAGUACUCAGAGAUCACUAUAUGAUAGUAAUACAAACAUGAUUACAUAGUACUCAGUGGUCAUUGUUUGAUAGUAUUACAAACAUGAUUACAUAGUACUCAGUGGUCACUGUAUGAUAGUAAUACAAACAUGAUUACAUAGUACUCAGUGGUCAUUGUUUGAUAGUAUUACAAACAUGAUUACAUAGUACUCAGUGGUCACUGUAUGAUAGUAAUACAAACAUGAUUACAUAGUACUCAGUGGUCAUUGGUUGAUAGUAUUACAAACAUGAUUACAUAGUACUCAGUGGUCAUUAUUUGAUAGUAUUACAAACAUGAUUACAUAGUACUCAGAGAUCACUAUAUGAUAAUAAUACAAACAUGAUUACAUAGUACUCAGAGAUCACUAUAUGAUAAUAAUACAAACAUGAUUACAUAGUACUCAGAGGUCACUAUAUGAUAAUAAUACAAACAUGAUUACAUAGUACUCAGAGAUCACUAUAUGAUAGUAAUACAAACAUGAUUACAUAGUACUCAGAGAUCACUAUAUGAUAAUAAUACAAACAUGAUUACAUAGUACUCAGAGGUCACUAUAUGAUAAUAAUACAAACAUGACUACUGAGUACUCAGAAGUCACUAUUUGAUAGCAAUAUAGCAGCAACAUGAUUACUGAGUACUCAGAAGUCACUGUCUGAUAGCCAUACAACAGCAACAUAGAUUACUGAGUAC